AAGAGAAUAUUUGUACAAGAAUCUAUGAGCUUUUGAAAUAAGGGUGUAAACUUUCUAUAUUUAUAAAUGCUUGCAUUUAUUAGAAAGCUAAGCUGCUUUAACAAAGAAAUCCCAACAUAUGUGGCUUAAACAAGAUAAAAGUUUAUUUUUUAAUAAGUAACAUUCUACCAGUAGGCAAGUUAUUCCAAGUUAGGUAAAUGUGUCUGCUCCAUAAAGUAAUUCAGAAAUCCAGGCUCCUUUUGUCUUCUUUUUGAACCACUUUUAAGAUGUUGUCCUUUUGCUUAAACUGGCUCACCACAUCCACAUCUGCCUUCCAGCCCAUAGGAAGGGGAAACAAGAAAGUGAAAUAAGCCAGUCAGAGAAAGACAAGUAUCACAUGAUUUCACUCAUAGUGGAAUGGAAUGAAUGAAAUGAAUUAAUAAGCAAAAUAGAAGUACAUUCACAGAUAGCAGACUGACAACUGUUUGGGAGGGAUUGAGAGACAAACUAAAAAAAGAAAGAAAGAAAGUAGAGGGCAAUUACCUUUCUUUUAAGGAAGUGAUCUGUAAGCUGCACGUAUCACCUGUACUCAUAUCCCAUUGGUCCAUUAUUGAUAUGGCCUUACCCACCUGCAAAAGACUGGGAAAUGUAGUCAGUCUCUGCCUCCGUGGCCGUGCACUCAGCUUAAAGUUUAGGAUAUUCUUAUUAGUAAAAUGAAGUACAGGAGACUGUAAAUUUGUCAAGAUUAAAAGAAUUAGUCAUGGAAUAUAUUCUUGGAGAAAAAAAGUUUUGUGAUGUAAGGGAGUCCAACAUUACUCUGAAAUAUUUUGGAUUCACAUUGUUUGAUCCAGGUAGGGCAACUGACAAGAACGUGGCUCAUGCGCUACUAAGUCCUAUUUCAACACCUAUAUGAACCAGUUAACUUCAAGAUUAUGCCUCACAGGCAGGAACAGCACUUUUUAUCCUGACUCA